AAGCGCCGGUAAGGUGAUAUGAACCGUUAUAACCGGCGAUUUCCGAAUGGGGAAACCCAGUGUGACUCGUCACACUAUCAUUAACUGAAUCCAUAGGUUAAUGAGGCGAACCGGGGGAACUGAAACAUCUAAGUACCCCGAGGAAAAGAAAUCAACCGAGAUUCCCCCAGUAGCGGCGAGCGAACGGGGAGGAGCCCAGAGCCUGAAUCAGCAUGUGUGUUAGUGGAAGCGUCUGGAAAGGCGCGCGAUACAGGGUGACAGCCCCGUACACAAAAGCGCAUGUGCUGUGAGCUCGAUGAGUAGGGCGGGACACGUGGUAUCCUGUCUGAAUAUGGGGGGACCAUCCUCCAAGGCUAAAUACUCCUGACUGACCGAUAGUGAACCAGUACCGUGAGGGAAAGGCGAAAAGAACCCCGGCGAGGGGAGUGAAAAAGAACCUGAAACCGU
rnacentral:rRNA from 1 species